CUACCUGCCUCCAAAACUGCUGGUGUUGCCU
rnacentral:piRNA from 1 species